rnacentral:rRNA from 1 species
AUGAGUCGACCUGAUGGGAUCAACAUCCCCGACGGCAAGUUCUACCUUGGAGAUGCUGGCUAUGCAUGUCGGCCGGGUAUUCUUCCACCCUUCAGGAAAACAAGGUACCAUCUCAACGAGUUCUCUGGUAGGAACUAUCCUAGGACUGCACAGGAGCUGCUUAAUCUCAGACACUCCAGCCUUAGAGUAACUGUUGAGAGGGCAUUUGGAGCUCUGAAGAAUAGGUUUAAGAUCCUGGAUCAGAAGCCAUUCCAUCAAUACUCCACUCAGGUUAAGCUUGUUCUUGCUUGUUGCAUUCUGCAUAACUGGAUCCUCCAGUGGGGAUUUGAUGAACACGUGCCUGAGGAGGAAGAGGUCGAGCCUGACGAUGUUGUUAGCUCCGGCCAUGGUGUGGAGGCAUUUGACAAUGACGCUUGGAAGAACAAAAAGUUGGAGUGGGCAGGGGCAAUGUGGCUUAACAGAGGUCAGUGCAGGAUUUGA